GUUUUGUAUAUAAGAAGGAAAUGCAACGUUCACCAAGAUACUAAACAUCAAGAGAAAUACAAGCUUGUUUCUGAGGAGAUCACAAGAGCAAAAUGUGGUUGCUAUUAACUGUGGCAAGUUUGAUAUCUGCACUUGGAACCACACCAUGCUUACUUUGGAAAAUUACAUCCUAUAAGCCCUGAAGUGACCAUGAAUAGUAGUCAGAUGAUCUCCUACUGGGGUUACCCAAGUGAAGAGUAUGAUGUCAUAAUGGAAGAUGGUUAUAUCCUUGGGAUCAACAGAAUUCCUUAUGAGAAGAAAAAUUCAGAGAAUAUAGGCCAGAGACCUGUUGUAUUUCUGCAACACAGUUUGUUCACAUCAGCCACAAACUGGAUCUCCAAUUUGCCCCAAAACAGCCUGGCCUUCAUUCUGGAAGAUGCGGGCUAGGACGUGUGGCUGCCGAACAGCAGGGGGAACACCUGGGC